AGCUGGGUAUGGUGGUGCGUGCCUGUAAUCUCAGCUACUCGGGAGGCUGAGGCAGGAGGAUCACUUGAGCCCAGAAGUUUUGAGACAGCAGUGAGCUCUGAGGGUACCACUGCACUCCAGCAUGGGCAACAGAGUGAGAUUGUAUCUC